rnacentral:rRNA from 1 species
GACGAACGCUGGCGGCGUGCCUAAUACAUGCAAGUCGAACGCAGUGGGGACGGGUGAGUCACACGUGGGUAACCUCCCAUCAGAGGGGAUAACACUUGGAAACAGGUGCUAAACCGAUACUGAUGGAUGGACCCGCGGUGCAUUAGCUAGUUGGUGAGGUAACGGCUCACCAAUGCCACGAUGCAUAGGCGACCUGGGAGGGUGAUCGGCCAAGCUGGGACGUAGACACGGCCCAGACUCCUACGGGAGGUAGCAGAGGGGAAUCUUGGGCAAUGGACGAAAGUCUGACCGAGCAACGCCGCGUGAGUUAAGAAGGUUUUCGGAUCGUAAAUCUCUGUUGUAAGAGAAGCGGUAUCUAACCAGAAAGCCACGGCUAACUACGUGCCAGCAGCCGCGGUAAUUC